UUCAAAGAAAUUCGUCAAAGUGCUAUGGAAAACUGUAAUUGUAGUUUACACAAUUCAAUGAUCUUUGAAAGUUUGCAAGAGUUCAUGCUCCGAUGAGUGUAUGCAUGUAUAUAGGUAAUAAGACGAAGAUGUUAUGGACUUAGGCUUAUCUUUUGUGCACUGAAAACUUUGAAGAAUUUUGUAUCGGUAACAACAGAUGGAUUGAGAUACAAAUGUACAUGUAGGCUCCCACAAAUGGCAUAACCUGCCCAGUAUUCAUACAGUUGCACGAGAUAAACCUCCUACAACCUCACUAAAUAGACAUCAUCACGGCUGCUCUUCCUCUAAGGCUGACUUCAUAUUUCUAAAGCAGGACAUGAUGGCAUGAAAUAAACAAUCCAACCAGCAGGUAUCUGUAGCAUCUUAAAACUGGAAAUGAUGGUAUGUUAUACUUGUGGAAGAGCAGAGGGAGAUAGUAACUGUGGACUUGGAGAAUCUACAAUGAAAAUUCCUAUAUGGUGAACAGAAGCAAGAGGAUGUACAGUUACAUCGCCGACAGUCUUUUAGCGAAGGUUAGUAAAAAGCUGAACAGCUUUUCAUUUAACUUAGUUCCUUCUGCACGAUGUAUGGCGAUGCUGGUGCGUCAUACCAGGAUUACUGAUGCGGCACUGCGCAUUGAACCGCAGAUGGCAUCUCGACAGCUGCUGUGUGUGCAUGGCCCGCAACAGUAGGCACGGUUCAGGGCGCAACGGACAACUGCAGUGGGGUGAGACUGGCUUCUUGUGAUGCCGGCAGCACAACUAGAUUCAGAGCCAGCUUCAUCAAUCCAGAUGUGUUGUAAUCGAAGGUGUCGUUAAUCCAAUUGCGUUGCCAAUGUGCACACGUAACACUGUUAAUCACUGUUCUAUUGUUCAGUUGCGUGUCGCAUUUCACUUCCGAGUCCGAAUAAUUAAAAUCACUUUCACUCAGUUUAACAGUGUUCUUCCCGGCCGAUUAGCACCAUAUGUGGGGCAGCGGGUGGAAAAUAAGGUUUU